UACGUAGGAUGCAAGCGUUGUCCGGAAUUAUUGGGCGUAAAGAGCGAGCAGGCGGUUUGGAAAGUUGGACGUGAAAUUUUAGGGCUUAACCCUAAAGGGUCGUCCAAAACUCCCAGACUAGAGUGCAGGAGAGGAAAGCGGAAUUCCCGGUGUAGUGGUGAAAUGCGUAGAUAUCGGGAGGAACACCAGAGGCGAAGGCGGCUUACUAGGCUGUAACUGACGCUGAGGCACGAAAGUGUGGGGAUCAAACAGG
rnacentral:rRNA from 1 species